rnacentral:rRNA from 1 species
UGGGGAAUCUUGCGCAAUGGCCGAAAGCCUGACGCAGCGACGCCGCGUGGGGGAUGACGGGUUUCGGCUUGUAAACCCCUGUUGCCCGGGACGAACUUCUCCUUUCGAGGAGAUUGACGGUACCGGGUGAGGAAGCACCGGCUAACUCUGUGCCUGCAGCCGCGGUAAUACAGAGGGUGCGAGCGUUGUCCGGAAUCACUGGGCGUAAAGGGCGCGUAGGUGGCGACCCAAGUCGAUGGUGAAAGCUCGCCGCUCAACGGCGAGUCGGCCACCGAUACUGGGUUGCUGGAGCACUGUAGAGGCAGAUGGAAUUCCGGGUGUAGCGGUGGAAUGCGUAGAGAUCCGGAAGAACACCGGUGGCGAAGGCGGUCUGCUGGGCAGUUGCUGACACUGAGGCGCGACAGCGUGGGGAGCAAAC